rnacentral:rRNA from 1 species
UACGUAGGGUGCAAGCGUUAAUCGGAAUUACUGGGCGUAAAGCGUGCGCAGGCGGUUUUGGAAGGCUGUCGUGAAAUCCCCGGGCUUAACCUGGGAAUGGCGAUGGAGACUGCAAGGCUAGAGUUUGGCAGAGGGGGGUAGAAUUCCACGUGUAGCAGUGAAAUGCGUAGAGAUGUGGAGGAACACCGAUGGCGAAGGCAGCCCCCUGGGUCAAAACUGACGCUCAUGCACGAAAGCGUGGGGAGCAAACAGG